UAGGGAAUCUUCCACAAUGGGCGCAAGCCUGAUGGAGCAACACCGCGUGAGUGAAGAAGGGUUUCGGCUCGUAAAGCUCUGUUGUUAAAGAAGAACACGUAUGAGAGUAACUGUUCUUGUAUUGACGGUAUCUAACCAGAAAGCCACGGCUAACUACGUGCCAG
rnacentral:rRNA from 1 species